CACCGACGACUUUGCGCCCUCGACCGCGAC
rnacentral:sRNA from 1 species